rnacentral:rRNA from 1 species
CCAGUGGCGAAGGCGNUUCUCUGGACCUUUCCUGACGCUGAGAAGCGAAAGCGUGGGGAGCGAACAGGCUUAGAUACCCUGGUAGUCCACGCNGUAAACGGUGGGUACUAGGUGUGGGGGACAUUCCACGUUNUCCGUGCCGUAGCUAACGCAUUAAGUACCCCGCCUGAGGAGUACGGCCGCAAGGCUAAUACUCAAAGGAAUUGACGGGGCCCCGCACAAGCGGCGGAGCAUGCGGAUUAAUUCGAUGCAACGCGAAGAACCUUACCUGGGUUUGACAUAUGCCGGGAGCGUUCAGAGAUGGGCGUGCCUUUUUGGUCGGUUUACAGGUGGUGCAUGGCUGUCGUCAGCUCGUGUCGUGAGAUGUUGGGUUAAGUCCCGCAACGAGCGCAACCCUCGUCCAAUGUUGCCAGCGGGUUAUGCCGGGGACUCAUUGGAGACCGCCGGGGUCAACUCGGAGGAAGGUGGGGAUGACGUCAAGUCAUCAUGCCCCUUAUGUCCAGGGCUUCACGCAUGCUACAAUGGCCGGUACAGUGAGCUGCGAGCCUGUGAGGGUGAGCGAAUCUCUAAAAGCCGGUCUCAGUUCGGAUUGGGGUCUGCAACUCGACCCCAUGAAGUCGGAGUCGCUAGUAAUCGCAGAUCAGCAACGCUGCGGUGAAUACGUUCCCGGGGCUUGUACACACCGCCCGUCAAGUCAUGAAAGUCGGUAACACCCGAAGCCG